rnacentral:rRNA from 1 species
UACGUAGGGUGCAAGCGUUGUCCGGAAUUAUUGGGCGUAAAGAGCUCGUAGGCGGUCUGUCGCGUCUGCUGUGAAAAUCCAGGGCUCAACCCUGGACCUGCAGUGGGUACGGGCAGACUAGAGUGCGGUAGGGGAGAUCGGAAUUCCUGGUGUAGCGGCGAAAUGCGCAGAUAUCAGGAGGAACACCGGUGGCGAAGGCGGAUCUCUGGGCCGUAACUGACGCUGAGGAGCGAAAGCAUGGGGAGCGAACAGG